CCCACCAUGUGGUGGCAUUGUGGUGUGUUUUAGUAAGCAAUGCCGAUGGAGGUGAAUCCAGGGAUCCUGCAGAGAUGGUAGUGAGCCUGCAGUGCCACUUCAGCUGCAUGAGGUGUUGCUGCAGUGGUUUCAGUGCCUCCUGCAUUCUCCGGCAAAGAGGAUGCAGUGCGUAAGCAGUGGAUGCAGUGUCCCACAAUGUGCAGGCCUUUUGGUGUGUUGUAGUAUACAGUACCGAUGAAGGUGAAUGCAGUGAACAUGCAGUAAUGGCAGUGCGCAUGCAUGUCCACAUCAGCUGGAGCAGUGUCCCUGGAGAGGUUGCAGUGCCACCUUCUGUGUCCCUGAAGGUGAAUGCAGUGCAAAUGCAGUGGAUGCAGUGUACGUAAAGGUUUGUUCAGUAUGUUGUGACUGAGGAUGCAGUGCCCAUGAAGGUGGAUGCAGUGAGCCUGAAGUGAUUGCAGUGCGCUUGCAGUGCCACUUCAGCUGGAUGCAGUGUUGCUGCAGUGGUUGCUGAGCUAACUGCAGUGUCCUUGAACGUGGAUGCAGUCCCCAUGCAGUGGCUGCAGUGUUGCAAAAUGUGCAUGCAGUAUGUUGUGACAGAGGAUGCAGUGCCCAUGAAGGUGGAUGCAGUGAUCCUGCAGUGGUUGCAGUGCCCCCUGCAGUUUACCUGAAUGUGGAUGCAGUGCUCAUGCAGUGGGUGCAGUGUCCCUCAAGGUGGAUGCCUUAUGAUGUGUUGGAGGAUUAAGUGAUCAUUAAAGUGGAAGAAGUGAUCCUACAGUCAUUGCAGUGAACUUGCAGUGCCACUUCAGCUGGCAGCAGUGUCCUUGGAGCGGUUGCAUCGCCCCGUCCUGUGCCUCUGAGUGUGGAUGCAGUGCCCAUGCAGUGGAUGCAGAGUACCAAAAUUUGCCUGCCAUAUG
rnacentral:lncRNA from 1 species